GACGAACGCUGGCGGCGUGCUUAACACAUUCAAGUCGAACGGAAAGGCCCUUCUUUUGUGGGGUGCUCGAGUGGCGAACGGGUGAGUAACACGUGAGUAACCUGCCCUUUACUUUUGGAUAACUUCAGGAAACUUGGGCUAAUACCGGAUAUGAGCUCCUGCUGCCUGGUUGGGGUUUGAAAGUUUCGGCGGUUGGGGAUGGACUCGCGGCUUAUCAGCUUGUUGGUGGGGUAGUGGCUUACCAAGGCUUUGACGGGUAGCCGGCCUGAGAGGGUGACCGGCCACAUUGGGACUGAGAUACGGCCCAGACUCCUACGGGAGGCAGCAGUGGGGAAUAUUGCACAAUGGGCGGAAGCCUGAUGCAGCAACGCCGCGUGCGGGAUGACGGCCUUCGGGUUGUAAACCGCUUUCGCCUGUGACGAAGCGUGAGUGACGGUAAUGGGUAAAGAAGCACCGGCUAACUACGUG
rnacentral:rRNA from 1 species